rnacentral:ncRNA from 1 species
AAAAUGUAAAUAGUUAUGCUUGUAUAAUAGUCAUGAUAUGGAUGACAAGUUUCUACCUGCUGACCGUAAAUCGGCGGACUACAAGCGGAUUUUUGC